GUCUCUUAGAAACUAUUAAGAGUCAGGCCUGCCCAGUGAUUGCUUUUUUAACGGCCGCGGUACCCUGACCGUGCAAAGGUAGCAUAAUCAUUUGCCUUUUAAUUGGAGGCUGGUAUGAACGGUUUGACGAGAGUAAAGCUGUCUCACACACAUUAAAUAGAAACUAAUUUAAAGGUGCAAAAGCCUUUAUAAAACAAAAAGACGAGAAGACCCUGUUGAGCUUUAAUUUUAAUGAGCACUAACUUUAUAUUAAUAUAAUUAUUUGCUCAAUAAAAAUUUUAAUUGGGGCGAUUAAGGAACACAAUGAAGCUUCCUGAUUUUAAUAUUAAAUAUUUAUAAAUUAAAUCGAUCCAGCAAUGCUGAUCAACAAAACGAGUUACCACAGGGAUAACAGCAUAAUUCUUUUUCAGAGCUCAUAUCGAAAAAAGAGAUUGUGACCUCGAUGUUGGACUAGGGUAACAAGAAGGUGGAGCAGCUUUCUUGCUUGGUCUGUUCGACCAAUAAUUCCCU
rnacentral:rRNA from 1 species